rnacentral:rRNA from 1 species
UACAGAGGUGCGAGCGUUAAUCGGAUUUACUGGGCGUAAAGCGUACGUAGGCGGUUUGUAAGUCAGAUGUGAAAUCCCCGAGCUCAACUUGGGAACUGCGUUUGAAACUUACAAGACUAGAAUAUGUCAGAGGGGUAGAAUUCCACGUGUAGCAGUGAAAUGCGUAGAGAUGUGGAGGAAUACCAAUGGCGAAGGCAGCCCCCUGGGAUAAUAUUGACGCUCAUGCACGAAAGCGUGGGGAGCAAACAGG